rnacentral:rRNA from 1 species
CCAGACUCCUACGGGAGGCAGCAGUGAGGAAUAUUGGUCAAUGGGCGAGAGCCUGAACCAGCCAAGUAGCGUGCAGGAUGACGGCCCUAUGGGUUGUAAACUGCUUUUAUGCGGGGAUAAAGUGAGGGACGUGUCCUUCAUUGCAGGUACCGCAUGAAUAAGGACCGGCUAAUUCCGUGCCAGCAGCCGCGGUAAUACGGAAGGUCCGGGCGUUAUCCGGAUUUAUUGGGUUUAAAGGGAGCGUAGGCCGGGGAUUAAGUGUGUUGUGAAAUGUAGACGCUCAACGUCUGACUUGCAGCGCAUACUGGUUCCCUUGAGUACGCACAACGUCGGCGGAAUUCGUCGUGUAGCGGUGAAAUGCUUAGAUAUGACGAAGAACUCCGAUUGCGAAGGCAGCUGACGGGAGCGCAACUGACGCUUAAGCUCGAAGGUGCGGGUAUCGAACAGGAUUAGAUACCCUGGUAGUCCGCACGGUAAACGAUGGAUGCCCGCUGUUGGUACCUGGUAUCAGCGGCUAAGCGAAAGCAUUAAGCAUCCCACCUGGGGAGUACGCCGGCAACGGUGAAACUCAAAGGAAUUGACGGGGGCCCGCACAAG